GACCGCGUAGCUCAGUUGGCAGAGCAUUGGGCUGGCAUUCCAAAGGUCGUAGGUUCGAUUCCCACCGUGGUCA
rnacentral:tRNA from 1 species